rnacentral:rRNA from 1 species
AAACCGCCAGUUAGGGUAGAACAGGUAAUUGGGGCUAAGUCGUAACAAGGUAGCCGUACCGGAAGGUGUGGCUGGAACACCUCCUUU